UGAUGUAUGCAAUCUUGAAAACUUAUAUAUUUUGAGGAAAAAAGUAAUAUUGUCGCACACUUGUUGGCGGAGUGUAUAGAGUUGUGCGGGUGAAAAUACAUCCACCAUGGAUUGAAUCUGAAUGCUCAAUUUAUGCACGCAUGGGAAUGUGUUUGGUAGGAAGGUAAUUUCUGAGAUGUGUUAAUAAAUACCAACUCAUGAAAAAUGUAGAUGUCCAUACAAAAGUAUGUUCAGUCUUAUUAUGCAUGUGGUGAUAUGUGUACGUGGAUGAGUUAUUCCUUGUAUUAGAAAAGCACAGGACGCGGUCAUAAAAUAUACCGACAAAUGAUCGUUCCUUCUCGUAAAAGAUCUAAUCGACUCAAGGAACAGGUAAAUAUUGUGGUCACUGGGAGAAGGGUUCCUCGUUGUUAUUGGCCGUGGAGCUCAUUGUACACUAUAUAUGGGCAUAAAUGACGAUUAUAGCUCAAUAGUUCUACAUCCCUUAUGCUAUUGAAGCAAUCGCCCUUGAUCUAUCAAAGAUAGUUUUCCAUAUGACAUAUGCAACAUGUUGUGUUGUACCACAUCUAGAAUUUCUAAGUCAAAACCAAUAACAUAUACCUAGAUAUUAUGCAUGUUCGAUCUCCGAGACAACAUAUUUUGAUGCUUUGUCGUAAUCAUUAUAUUAUGUAAUUUCCUAAAUUAAUAGUGUAAUUAAUUGCCACCCAGUAUUCCGUUAUUACAGUUAGCAAUAUUGUCAUCUCAAGUUGGUAUUGCUAGAGUAAUAUGUGUAAGUUCUAAAGUUCACUUUUUAGGAGUUAGGUUGCUAUUGAAGUGAAAUUUUCUAGGUGGUGUUAGAGAAGUAUCUUGACAACUGGUUAGGAUUAACAUGACAUUUAUUGGAUAUCUAAUGAAGGCGCAUUAUGUCAGUAAUUGCUUCUAGAGGUAGUUUGGGUUCGCAGACCAUCUAUUUUAGUAACUAUGUUCGGGGCCGCCACCACGUGGAUCCUCCCACCACGUCUCCGGGGCCACCGCCCCGAAAUCCUGCACCUUUGCCCCCAUCGAAAGGAUCAGUCCCCUCAAAGCCACGCCGCGAGCUCCAACAUCCGUCUGCACCUGAGCGUCGCCACUAGGAUCUGCAUAAGCAUGAGAAGUUGAUGUCCGCGAACUCACAUGCCUGAAGAAAUGUCAUGACAACAAACUCCGCGAGCGUGACCUUCAGGUUGGGCGGCAACUCCAAACGCCUCCCCCACGGAAUUUACAGACAUUUUAGGACUCGGGAGUGUUUUGUAGCCUGGGAAUCAAAUUGGCUUCCUCGCGCGUGUGUGUUGCUUGCUCUGUUGUGUAGUUGUGCAAGACGAAGGUCUGGUGACUAGUCUGAUUGGGUAUGUGCAUGCUAUCAUGCAUGGGGCAUGUGGAGAGUUGAUUGUUGUUCUUGGAACAUGUUUGUCAUGUGCAUGUAGUGGUCGUGUCAAUACAUUUUGCGCAGGAAAUAUUUGUUGGAUUGUAAUUCAGAACUGCUCUUGCUUGCUAAAUACAUUUCUGGAAUAUCAAUUUUGUAAGAUAAUUGACUUACUUAUUAUUAUUUUCAGGUCACCAUUGGUAUAAGGAUUUUGCAUCAGUUCCAAGAGGCAUGUUUGUCGAGCUAAAAGGAUCUAUUGCUAGAAUUUCUCUAAUAUUUUGGACAUUUUAAUAUAUAUCUGCUGAAUUAGUACCCUUGUUGGGUGGAGUACAUUCACCGAAACCCGGUGUUAUAUUUAGUGCUUUUGGCUAUGAUGUAAUUGUAGACUGCAGGAUGGAUUGUUAUGCUUUUGGUUGUGAUCUAGUAUUGAGCUUUUGAAUGUACAAAUUUACACCUAUGAUCGAUUGCUGAGAUAUAUAUUAUGUCCUAGUAGAUGCAACUUUAAUUACUCUGCAUGUGUGUUGUAGAUUAUGAACAUAAGUGACGAUCAGUACCUCUAUAGUUCUAUAUCCCUUUUCUAUUGAAACCGUCACACAUUUGUAGCACA
rnacentral:lncRNA from 1 species